rnacentral:rRNA from 1 species
CUACGGAGGGUGCAAGCGUUGUUCGGAAUCACUGGGCGUAAAGGGCGCGCAGGCGGUUUUACAAGUCAGAUGUGAAAGCCCACGGCUCAACCGUUGAAGUGCAUUUGAAACUGUAAGACUUGAGUAUCAGAGGGGAAGGUGGAAUUCCCGGUGUAGAGGUGAAAUUCGUAGAUAUCGGGAGGAAUACCGGUGGCGAAGGCGACUUUCUGGCUGAAUACUGACGCUGAGGCGCGAAAGCGUGGGGAGCAAACAGGAUUAGAUACCCUAGUAGUCC